rnacentral:tRNA from 1 species
GCUGGUAUAGUUUAAUAAAAACAUUAGGUUGUGGUCCUAAAAAUAGAAGUUUAAUUCUUCUUACCUG